UGAUUUCAGCACGUGCCACGCCAAUAUCUCUUAUUGGGAGGCUCCCGAUUAAAAGACAAAUGCCGAAUAAUUGCUCCGUGACAAAACUGGAACUUGAUUUUGGUCGCUUCUCUGGCAAAAGCUCCCUCAAAGUGUUGCUAUCCUUCUGGCCCUUGAAAAAGAACAAGCCCAUACGUGCAUCAUGGAACAUUGUCCCAGAGAAAUGAAAGUGAUUAUGAGAUUAGAUCGGAUCUCCUGAGCGGUCCAUUAUACCUCGUGGUCCUCAAUGGACACCACCACUCUUGCCCAGCAAGCAAGC